rnacentral:rRNA from 1 species
UACGUAGGGUGCGAGCGUUGUCCGGAAUUAUUGGGCGUAAAGAGCUUGUAGGCGGUUUGUCGCGUCUGCCGUGAAAAUCCGGGGCUCAACCCCGGACUUGCGGUGGGUACGGGCAGACUAGAGUGUGGUAGGGGAGACUGGAAUUCCUGGAUGUAGCGGUGAAAUGCGCAGAUAUCAGGAGGAACACCGAUGGCGAAGGCAGGUCUCUGGGCCGUAACUGACGCUGAGGAGCGAAAGCAUGGGGAGCGAACAGG